GGAUUAGAUACCCUGGUAGUCCACACUGUAAACGAUGAUGACUAGAUGUUCGGUCGCAAGACUGAGUGUUCAAGCGAAAGCGAUAAGUCAUCCACCUGGGGAGUACGACCGCAAGGUUGAAACUCAAAGGAAUUGACGGGGGCCCGCACAAGUGGUGGAGCAUGUGGUUUAAUUCGAUGAUACGCGAGGAACCUUACCUGGGCUAGAAUGUAUUUAGACGGUUGUUGAAAGGCAAUUUCCCGCAAGGGUUAGAUACAAGGUGCUGCAUGGUCGUCGUCAGCUCGUGCCG
rnacentral:rRNA from 1 species